rnacentral:lncRNA from 1 species
GGCAUCUAUUUUAAAUGAACCUGUGAUUCUCUCCUUCCGGGCUUCCUCUCCUCUCCAUUCCUUCUUCUUCCACCCAUGGCCUGCCUCCUCCCAGCCUGCAUAAUUACCAAAGCAUGCUCUGGGAGUGCCUUCUGCCUUGGGAGUAGGUUUCCUUUUCCUACAUACCCUCCAACAAGACCCCUGGGCCUUUCUCUCUGGGAAUUCAAAGUACUGUGGCACGCAGUGUUUUGUACAGUAGCUAAAAUAUUUUGACAGCACACAAGAUCUUCUCCUCAAAGAGGACUGCGGAUGUUAGAAGCUGCGCCUGUGUGAGGGUGGGAGAUCUUGACUUUGUCAGGAAGCCUUUUGGUUUAAAAUCUCACUGGGCAUGGUGGCUCACACCUGUAAUCCCAGCAUUUUGGGAGGCCAAGGCGGGCGGGUCACGAGGUCAAGAGAUCGAGACCAUCCUGGCCAACAUGGUGAAACCCUGUCUCUACUAAAAAUACAAAAACUAGCCGGGUGUGAUAGUACACGCCUGUAAUCCCAGCUACUCCAGAGACUGAGGCAGGAAAAUCGCUUGAACCUGGGAGGCAGAGGUUGCAGUGAGCUGAGAUCGCACCAUUGCACUCCAGCCUGGGCAACAAGAGCAAAACUCCAUCUAAAAAAACAAAAACACCCACCUCACUACUAUUUUCUGGGAAGAUUAGAUGGAGAAAAGAACAUUUGAUUAACACUUACCACGUAGUAGGCACUACCUCCCUUAAUUUCCUAAAAACACCUAUGAAGUCAGAGAUUUAGAAGUGGAGGUUCAGAGAGGUUAGGGAACUUGAUCGGCUCCCACAGCUAUGAACCAGUUGCUAAUCCACUGGUUCUGGAAAGGCUGAUCAGAAUCACCUGGGGCAGGGAGAGUUUCCAACUGGUGCUCACAUAUGUUUCCCAGUGAGAACAGCUGCACCCUAUGGUGCUCAAGGUAGGAGUCGUGUGCCAGGACACCACCCCACAGACGUCCUGGUCUGGACAAGUGUCAACAAACUGAUGAGGUACAGCAGGAGAUAGAAAUCCAUAUAGAGGGUUUGUGAUAAAGCCAAAGAAAAGAGCAUCUGGAAAAGUUCCUUCGGGAAGAAAAAAUAGAAGAAUCCUAAAGAUUGGGGCAAGGGGAGCAUAACUCAAGGCCAGAAAAGGGAGAGGCUUUGUGGGCGGGAGGGUGCAAGGGGACAGGGCCCAGGACAGGCUGACCUAUUCCCAGGAAGGAUGCUGGGGGUGGGAGGAUGUGGCAGGGCUUGGGACAGGGAGGGGGCACCUGGGCAGAAUCUCUGUCCACCACACUUGGAAGAGGCAGGCAGCAGCUGUGCUAGGCGGAGCACUUGACCAGGAGAUUUAAGACGUGGUUCUGGCUGUGUAGCCUCAGACAAGUCACAUCAGCUGUCUGCGACUUGGUUGCUUUCUCAUUAAAAAUAGGCAUAAAAAUAAUCGUCUCUGCCUGCCUCUCAGUGGGAUUAUGGGAACUGACUGAGUUAACUCAUAUAAAAGUGUUUCAUAAACUGUGAAACACUAUACAAAUGUCACAGAAGGAUUAUUAGAUACAGCAGUAAGUUCUAAUUCAUUAUUAUUCAGAAUUCCAGCAACUCAGCUUGUUCUUGGCUGUGUUUUAUUGACAAGGCAGCAUCUGAUGCCCAUUGAGAUUCUGCUCAUUAAAGCCUGGCACAGAGUGAGGCCUCCGUGUUAGCACCCCUCCCCACCCCAGCUCCUUUGUCCUGAUGUUCUUACACCCUCAGUCCAACUAGGAUGGAUCUCAGCUACACAGAAAAAUCUCUGAUAGUGGUCUCACUGCCCUUGAAAAAAGCCUAACUCUCAUUCUUAAAAAAAGCUUUUGGUGAAAGCUUCAUUCAUACAAGAAUAUAUAUAUAACGUGUAAGUAUAGUUUAAGGAAUAACAAUAAAACAAACCGCACACUAAACUUUAGAAAAAAUACUACCAGUGCCUGCAAAGCUCCUAUUGUUCUUCCCUGAUGCAUUCUCUUCACUCUCCUAUCCUCGAUUUUGCAUUAAUCUUUCUCUUGCUUUUUAUUUUUUUGAGAUAGGGUCUCACUCUGUCACCUAGGCUGGAGUGUAGUGGUGUGAUCAUAGCUCAUUACACCCUUGAUCUCCCGGGCUCAACUGAUCCUCCCACUUCAGCCUCCCAGGUGGCUGGGACCACAGGCACAUGCCACCACACCUGUUUACUUUUUUGUUUUUAUUUUUAGAGAUGCAGUUUCACUAUGUUACCCAGGGAGGUCCCAAACUCCUGGAGUCAAGCAAUCCUGCCUCAGCCUCCCAAAGUGCUGGGAUUAUAGGCAUGAGCCACUGCGUUCAGCCUCUCCUACUUUUUAGAAAGAGCUUUACCUUAUAAAUAUUAUCCCUAGUUUUUCUUGCCUCUAAACUUUUAUCAAGGAAUGCGGCGUGAACCUAAAGAGCAAAAAAACCCGAG